GGCUUAACUGUGAGCGUGCGGGCGAUACGGGCAGACUUGAGUACUGCAGGGGAGACUGGAAUUCCUGGUGUAGCGGUGGAAUGCGCAGAUAUCAGGAGGAACACCGGUGGCGAAGGCGGGUCUCUGGGCAGUAACUGACGCUGAGGAGCGAAAGCGUGGGGAGCGAACAGGAUUAGAUACCCUGGUAGUCCACGCCGUAAACGGUGGGUACUAGGUGUGGGUUUCCUUCCUUGGGAUCCGUGCCGUAGCUAACGCAUUAAGUACCCCGCCUGGGGAGUACGGCCGCAAGGCUAAAACUCAAAGAAAUUGACGGGGGCCCGCACAAGCGGCGGAGCAUGUGGAUUAAUUCGAUGCAACGCGAAGAACCUUACCUGGGUUUGACAUGCACAGGACGCCGGCAGAGAUGUCGGUUCCCUUGUGGCCUGUGUGCAGGUGGUGCAUGGCUGUCGUCAGCUCGUGUCGUGAGAUGUUGGGUUAAGUCCCGCAACGAGCGCAACCCUUGUCUCAUGUUGCCAGCGGGUAAUGCCGGGGACUCGUGAGAGACUGCCGGGGUCAACUCGGAGGAAGGUGGGGAUGACGUCAAGUCAUCAUGCCCCUUAUGUCCAGGGCUUCACACAUGCUACAAUGGCCGGUACAAAGGGCUGCGAUGCCGCGAGGUUAAGCGAAUCCUUUUAAAGCCGG
rnacentral:rRNA from 1 species